rnacentral:rRNA from 1 species
GGAUUGUAGUCUGCAACUCGACUACAUGAAGCUGGAAUCGCUAGUAAUCGCGGAUCAGAAUGCCGCGGUGAAUACGUUCCCGGGUCUUGUACACACCGCCCGUCACACCAUGGGAGUCGGAAAUGCCCGAAGUCUGUGACCGAACCGAAAGGAAGGAGCAGCCGAAGGCAGGUCGGAUGACUGGGGUGAAGUCGUAACAAGGUACC